rnacentral:rRNA from 1 species
GAAUAAGCACCGGCUAACUACGUGCCAGCAGCCGCGGUAAUACGUAGGGUGCAAGCGUUAUCCGGAAUUAUUGGGCGUAAAGGGCUCGUAGGCGGUUCGUCGCGUCCGGUGUGAAAGUCCAUCGCUUAACGGUGGAUCCGCGCCGGGUACGGGCGGGCUUGAGUGCGGUAGGGGAGACUGGAAUUCCCGGUGUAACGGUGGAAUGUGUAGAUAUCGGGAAGAACACCAAUGGCGAAGGCAGGUCUCUGGGCCGUCACUGACGCUGAGGAGCGAAAGCGUGGGGAGCGAACAGGAUUAGAUACCCUGGUAGUCCACGCCGUAAACGGUGGAUGCUGGAUGUGGGGACCAUUCCACGGUCUCCGUGUCGGAGCCAACGCGUUAAGCAUCCCGCCUGGGGAGUACGGCCGCAAGGCUAAAACUCAAAGAAAUUGACGGGGGCCCGCACAAGCGGCGGAGCAUGCGGAUUAAUUCGAUGCAACGCGAAGAACCUUACCUGGGCUUGACAUGUUCCCGACAGCCGUAGAGAUACGGUCUCCCUUCGGGGCGGGUUCACAGGUGGUGCAUGGUCGUCGUCAGCUCGUGUCGUGAGAUGUUGGGUUAAGUCCCGCAACGAGCGCAACCCUCGCCCUGUGUUGCCAGCACGUCGUGGUGGGAACUCACGGGGGACCGCCGGGGUCAACUCGGAGGAAGGUGGGGAUGACGUCAGAUCAUCAUGCCCCUUACGUCCAGGGCUUCACGCAUGCUACAAUGGCCGGUACAACGGGAUGCGACCUCGUGAGGGGGAGCGGAUCCCUUAAAACCGGUCUCAGUUCGGAUUGGAGUCUGCAACCCGACUCCAUGAAGGCGGAGUCGCUAGUAAUCGCGGAUCAGCAACGCCGCGGUGAAUGCGUUCCCGGGCCUUGUACACACCGCCCGUCAAGUCAUGAAAGUGGGUAGCACCCGAAGCCGGUGGCCCAACCUUUUGGGGGGAGCCGUCUAAGGUGAGACUCGUGAUUGGGACUAAGUCGUAACAAGGUAGCCGUACCGGAAGGUGCGGCUG